GUUGGGUAGGGGAGCGUUCUGUAAGCCUGUGAAGGUGGCCUGUGAGGGUUGCUGGAGGUAUCAGAAGUGCGAAUGCUGACAUAAGUAACGAUAAAGCGGGUGAAAAGCCCGCUCGCCGGAAGACCAAGGGUUCCUGUCCAACGUUAAUCGGGGCAGGGUGAGUCGACCCCUAAGGCGAGGCCGAAAGGCGUAGUCGAUGGGAAACGGGUUAAUAUUCCCGUACUUGGUGUUACUGCGAAGGGGGGACGGAGAAGGCUAUGUUGGCCGGGCGACGGUUGUCCCGGUUUAAGCGUGUAGGUGUGUGUUCCAGGUAAAUCCGGUUCACUUUAACACUGAGGCGUGAUGACGAGGCACUACGGUGCUGAAGCAACAAAUGCCCUGCUUCCAGGAAAAGCCUCUAAGCAUCAGGUAACAUCAAAUCGUACCCCAAACCGACACAGGUGGUCAGGUAGAGAAUACCAAGGCGCUUGAGAGAACUCGGGUGAAGGAACUAGGCAAAAUGGUGCCGUAACUUCGGGAGAAGGCACGCUGAUAUGUAGGUGAAGCGGUUUACCCGUGGAGCUGAAAUCAGUCGAAGAUACCAGCUGGCUGCAACUGUUUAUUAAAAACACAGCACUGUGCAAACACGAAAGUGGACGUAUACGGUGUGACGCCUGCCCGGUGCCGGAAGGUUAAUUGAUGGGGUCAGCGCAAGCGAAGCUCCUGAUCGAAGCCCCGGUAAACGGCGGCCGUAACUAUAACGGUCCUAAGGUAGCGAAAUUCCUUGUCGGGUAAGUUCCGACCUGCACGAAUGGCGUAAUGAUGGCCAGGCUGUCUCCACCCGAGACUCAGUGAAAUUGAACUCGCUGUGAAGAUGCAGUGUACCCGCGGCAAGACGGAAAGACCCCGUGAACCUUUACUAUAGCUUGACACUGAACAUUGAGCCUUGAUGUGUAGGAUAGGUGGGAGGCUUUGAAGCGUGGACGCCAGUCUGCGUGGAGCCAACCUUGAAAUACCACCCUUUAAUGUUUGAUGUUCUAACGUGGACCCGUAAUCCGGGUUGCGGACAGUGUCUGGUGGGUAGUUUGACUGGGGCGGUCUCCUCCUAAAGAGUAACGGAGGAGCACGAAGGUUGGCUAAUCCUGGUCGGACAUCAGGAGGUUAGUGCAAUGGCAUAAGCCAGCUUGACUGCGAGCGUGACGGCGCGAGCAGGUGCGAAAGCAGGUCAUAGUGAUCCGGUGGUUCUGAAUGGAAGGGCCAUCGCUCAACGGAUAAAAGGUACUCCGGGGAUAACAGGCUGAUACCGCCCAAGAGUUCAUAUCGACGGCGGUGUUUGGCACCUCGAUGUCGGCUCAUCACAUCCUGGGGCUGAAGUAGGUCCCAAGGGUAUGGCUGUUCGCCAUUUAAAGUGGUACGCGAGCUGGGUUUAGAACGUCGUGAGACAGUUCGGUCCCUAUCUGCCGUGGGCGCUGGAGAACUGAGGGGGGCUGCUCCUAGUACGAGAGGACCGGAGUGGACGCAUCACUGGUGUUCGGGUUGUCAUGCCAAUGGCACUGCCCGGUAGCUAAAUGCGGAAGAGAUAAGUGCUGAAAGCAUCUAAGCACGAAACUUGCCCCGAGAUGAGUUCUCCCUGAGACUUUAGGUCUCCUGAAGGAACGUUGAAGACGACGACGUUGAUAGGCCGGGUGUGUAAGCGCAGCGAUGCGUUGAGCUAACCGGUACUAAUGAACCGUGAGGCUUAACCUUACAACGCCGAAG
rnacentral:rRNA from 1 species